GACGAACGCUGGCGGCGUGCUUAACACAUGCAAGUCGAACGGGAUCCUGGCUUCGGUCAGGUGAGAGUGGCGAACGGGUGAGUAACGCGUAGGCAAUCUGCCCUUGGGUGGGGGAUAGCCCCGGGAAACCGGGAUUAAUACCGCAUGAAGCGACGGCCUCGCAUGGGGUUGUUGUUAAAGAUUUAUUGCCCAGGGAUGAGCCUGCGUUGCAUUAGCUAGUUGGUGGGGUAACGGCUCACCAAGGCGACGAUGCAUAGCUGGUCUGAGAGGAUGAUCAGCCACACUGGGACUGAGAUACGGCCCAGACUCCUACGGGUGGCAG
rnacentral:rRNA from 1 species